UUGUUUGCUCAACUCUGGUCUGUGUGUGUGUGGUAUACAUACAUGUUCUUGUGUAUAUGUGCCUCCUGAGGGUAUACAGAAGCACAUCAGGGAAAGAAAUGUAGGUCCAGGGUCCUUCUGAUGGCCAAGCUGAGCUGGGACUUCAUGGGGAGGCAGAGACUUUGGACAGGACAUUUGAAGGUAUCCCAGGUAGAGACAGGUGUGUGGGAAGGGUUAGUGUAGCAGGGAGGAUCAGAAGUGGUGUGUGCUGACAGCUAGGUGCUGUCACCAGUUGAGGGGAAUCUGAGUCCCACCACUUCAUCUCCUCUCCUGCAGCCUAGGAAAGGAUGGGGGCUUGGAUGAUGACGAGGAGGAGGAGGACCUGGAUGAAGGCUCGGGGGCCAAGCGCCAGGGUGUAGAGGUAAAAGCCCACCAGGCCUCACACACCAAGUACUUGCUGAUGAGGGGCUACUACACAAUGCCUGGCAUGGUCAGCACACGCAACCUGAACCCCAACGACAGCAUUGUAGUCAACUCCUGCCAGGUGAAGUUCCGGCUCCGCAGCACUCCUGCACCUACCCAGCUUGGGCCCACCCAGGGGUUCACAGCCACACCUCUAGAAGAGCUCCAGGUGGGACCCUCCUGCCUCCCCGACUCUUUCACCAGUCUGGUGGACCCCCAGUUGCGCACCUGCAGUCUAGAAGAGUUUGCCCAGCAGGUGGUGCUGUCUGGAUAUAGUCCUGAGGACGUGGUUGCCUCCCUGGACAUCUUGCAGGCUGUGGCUGCUGCCGACUGCUUUGGGGUUGACAGGGAAAGGCUAAGUAGGCAGUUCUGGGUCUUGGAGAAGAUAGCCGGUGAGCGCACCAGGACAUUCCAAGACUAUGUCCAGGUGAGCCAAGCUGGGAGCAUGGGGGUUGCAAAGCUUACCACUCCAGGCCAGGCGCAUACUGCAAG
rnacentral:lncRNA from 1 species